GAGUUUGAUCUUGGCUCAGGAUGAACGCUAGCGGGAGGCCUAACACAUGCAAGCCGAGCGGUAGAGAUUCUUCGGAAUCUUGAGAGCGGCGUACGGGUGCGGAACACGUGUGCAACCUGCCUUUAUCAGGGGGAUAGCCUUUCGAAAGGAAGAUUAAUACCCCAUAAUAUAUUAAGUGGCAUCACUUGAUAUUGAAAACUCCGGUGGAUAAAGAUGGGCACGCGCAAGAUUAGAUGGUUGGUAGGGUAACGGCCUACCAAGUCAGUGAUCUUUAGGGGGCCUGAGAGGGUGAUCCCCCACACUGGUACUGAGACACGGACCAGACUCCUACGGGAGGCAGCAGUGAGGAAUAUUGGACAAUGGGUGAGAGCCUGAUCCAGCCAUCCCGCGUGAAGGAUGACGGCCCUAUGGGUU
rnacentral:rRNA from 1 species